GAUGAACGCUGGCGGCGUGCCUAAUACAUGCAAGUCGAGCGAACAGACGAGGAGCUUGCUCCUCUGACGUUAGCGGCGGACGGGUGAGUAACACGUGGAUAACCUACCUAUAAGACUGGGAUAACUUCGGGAAACCGGAGCUAAUACCGGAUAAUAUAUUGAACCGCAUGGUUCAAUAGUUAAAGAAGGUUUUGCUGUCACUUAUAGAUGGAUCCGCGCCGCAUUAGCUAGUUGGUAAGGUAACGGCUUACCAAGGCAACGAUGCGUAGCCGACCUGAGGUGGUGAUCGGCCACACUGGAACGGAGACACGGUCCAGACUCCUACAGGAGGCAGCAGUAGGGAAUCUUCCGCAAUGGGCGAAAGCCUGACGGAGCAACGCCGCGUGAGUGAUGAAGGUCUUCGGAUCGUAAAACUCUGUUAUUAGGGAAGAACAAAUGUGUAAGUAACUAUGCACGUCUUGACGGUACCUAAUCAGAAAGCCAGGGCUAGAUACGUG
rnacentral:rRNA from 1 species